rnacentral:lncRNA from 1 species
GCAAGACAAUGACUGAAGGGUGAAUGAUAUAUCUUCCAUGGAAAAACAGAUGUGCUCAAAGGAGAGAUGUCUUAAUGGAAAAGCAUGACUGAAGCAUAAAUGGAAACUUUCCUCAAAGAAGAGAUCUGGAAAGGUUAUGGUCAUCACUAAACUUACAGAAAACCAAAAAGAAAAUAAUACGAAGGAGGCACAGACAAAGAAGAGUUUAGA